rnacentral:tRNA from 2 species
AGUCUCCGAGUAAUAGAAUACACUCGAGACAGCGGCUUCGGUGAGACAUUGAUGCCGUUUUGGCGGGCGGCAUCGUGGGUUCAAAUCCCACCCUCUCCGCCA